rnacentral:rRNA from 1 species
GACGAACGCUGGCGGCGUGCCUAACACAUGCAAGUCGAGCGGAGUCGAUCGACGGAAGCCUUCGGGCGGAAGAUGGUUGACUUAGCGGCGGAUGGGUGAGUAACGCGUGGGCAACCUGCCUCGAAGACCGGGAUAACAGCCCGAAAGGGCUGCUAAUACCGGAUGUGGUCAAGGAUCCGCAUGGAUUUUUGAUUAAAGGGGAAACCCGUUUCGAGAUGGGCCCGCGUCCCAUCAGCUAGUUGGUAAGGUAAAGGCUUACCAAGGCGACGACGGGUAGCCGGCCUGAGAGGGUGACCGGCCACACUGGAACUGAGACACGGUCCAGACUCCUACGGGGGGCAGCAGUGGGGAAUCUUCCACAAUGGGCGAAAGCCUGAUGGAGCGACGCCGCGUGAGCGAAGAAGGCCUUCGGGUUGUAAAGCUCUGUCUGGAGGGACGAAGGAAGUGACGGUACCUCCGGAGGAAGCCACGGCUAACUACGUG